rnacentral:rRNA from 1 species
GAUGAACGCUGGCGGCGUGCCUAAUACAUGCAAGUCGAGCGAACAGACGAGGAGCUUGCUCCUCUGACGUUAGCGGCGGACGGGUGAGUAACACGUGGAUAACCUACCUAUAAGACUGGGAUAACUUCGGGAAACCGGAGCUAAUACCGGAUAAUAUAUUGAACCGCAUGGUUCAAUAGUGAAAGACGGUUUUGCUGUCACUUAUAGAUGGAUCCGCGCCGCAUUAGCUAGUUGGUAAGGUAACGGCUUACCAAGGCAACGAUGCGUAGCCGACCUGAGAGGGGGAGCGGCCAAAAUGGAAAUGGAACACGGGCCAGAACCCGAGGGGGGGCAGAAGGAGGGAAUUUUCCGAAAGGGGGGAAAGCCUGAGGGAGAAACGCCGGGGGGGGGAUGAAGGUCUUCGGAUAGAAAAACCUUGUUAUUAGGGAAAAAAAAAUGUGUAAGUAAAUAGGCACGUUUGGAAGGAACCAAAGCAGAAAGCCACGGAAAAAUAAGU